rnacentral:rRNA from 1 species
AAUAGAUAUUCAAUUUUGAGUAGGUAUUACUCAGAGUUAAGUGACGAUAGCCUAGGAGAUACACCUGUACCCAUGCCGAACACAGAAGUUAAGCCCUAGAACGCCGGAAGUAGUUGGGGGUUGCCCCCUGUGAGAUAGGGAAGUCGCUUAGCUUUAAUCCGCCAUAGCUCAGUUGGUAGUAGCGCAUGACUGUUAAUCAUGAUGUCGUAGGUUCGAGUCCUACUGGCGGAGUAAUUGAGUUAAGAGGUUUAGACCUCUUUUUUGUUAUGUAAUAAUAAUCUAUUUUGUGUUAUAGUAAAAUGAACCAAAAAUAGUACACAAUGUGGUAUAAUCUUUUUAUGGCAUAUUCAAUAGAUUUUCGUAAAAAAGUUCUCUCUUAUUGUGAGCGAACAGGUAGUAUAACAGAAGCAUCACACGUUUUCCAAAUCUCACGUAAUACUAUUUAUGGCUGGUUAAAGCUAAAAGAGAAGACAGGAGAGCUAAACCACCAAGUAAAAGGAACAAAACCAAGAAAAGUUGAUAGAGAUAGACUUAAAAACUAUCUUACUGACAAUCCAGACGCUUAUUUGACUGAAAUAGCUUCUGAAUUUGGCUGUCAUCCAACUACCAUCCACUAUGCGCUCAAAGCUAUGGGCUACACUCGAAAAAAAAGAACCACACCUACUAUGAACAAGANCACGUGAAAUCCCGUCGGAAUCUGGGAGGACCAUCUCCCAACCCUAAAUACUCCCUAGUGACCGAUAGUGAACCAGUACCGUGAGGGAAAGGUGAAAAGCACCCCGGGAGGGGAGUGAAAUAGAACCUGAAACCGUGUGCCUACAACAAGUUCGAGCCCGUUAAUGGGUGAGAGCGUGCCUUUUGUAGAAUGAACCGGCGAGUUACGUUAUGAUGCGAGGUUAAGUUGAAGAGACGGAGCCGUAGGGAAACCGAGUCUGAAUAGGGCGCCUUAGUAUCAUGACGUAGACCCGAAACCAUGUGACCUACCCAUGAGCAGGUUGAAGGUGCGGUAAGACGCACUGGAGGACCGAACCAGGGCACGUUGAAAAGUGCUUGGAUGACUUGUGGGUAGCGGAGAAAUUCCAAACGAACUUGGAGAUAGCUGGUUCUCUCCGAAAUAGCUUUAGGGCUAGCGUCGACAUUAGAGAUUCUUGGAGGUAGAGCACUGUUUGGGUGAGGGGUCCAUCCCGGAUUACCAAUCUCAGAUAAACUCCGAAUGCCAAUGAAUUAUGGUCGGCAGUCAGACUGCGAGUGCUAAGAUCCGUAGUCGAAAGGGAAACAGCCCAGACCACCAGCUAAGGUCCCAAAAUAAUUGUUAAGUGGAAAAGGAUGUGGGGUUGCACAGACAACUAGGAUGUUAGCUUAGAAGCAGCUAUUCAUUCAAAGAGUGCGUAAUAGCUCACUAGUCGAGUGACCCUGCGCCGAAAAUGUACCGGGGCUAAAACAAUUUACCGAAGCUGUGGAUACCUUUAUAGGUAUGGUAGGAGAGCGUUCUAUGUGUGAUGAAGGUAUACCGUGAGGAGUGCUGGAACGCAUAGAAGUGAGAAUGCCGGUAUGAGUAGCGAAAGACAGGUGAGAAUCCUGUCCACCGUAAGACUAAGGUUUCCAGGGGAAGGCUCGUCCGCCCUGGGUUAGUCGGGACCUAAGGAGAGACCGAAAGGUGUAUCCGAUGGACAACAGGUUGAUAUUCCUGUACUAGAGUAUGUAGUGAUGGAGGGACGCAGUAGGCUAACUAAAGCAGACGAUUGGAAGAGUCUGUCUAAGCAGUGAGGUGUGAAUUGAGUCAAAUGCUUAAUUCUAUAACAUUGAGCUGUGAUGGGGAGCGAAGUUUAGUAGCGAAGUUAGUGACGUCACACUGCCAAGAAAAGCUUCUAGCGUUUAAACAUACUCUACCCGUACCGCAAACCGACACAGGUAGUCGAGGCGAGUAGCCUCAGGUGAGCGAGAGAACUCUCGUUAAGGAACUCGGCAAAAUGACCCCGUAACUUCGGGAGAAGGGGUGCUGACUUUAAGUCAGCCGCAGUGAAUAGGCCCAAGCAACUGUUUAUCAAAAACACAGCUCUCUGCUAAAUCGUAAGAUGAUGUAUAGGGGGUGACGCCUGCCCGGUGCUGGAAGGUUAAGAGGAGUGCUUAGCGUAAGCGAAGGUAUGAAUUGAAGCCCCAGUAAACGGCGGCCGUAACUAUAACGGUCCUAAGGUAGCGAAAUUCCUUGUCGGGUAAGUUCCGACCCGCACGAAAGGCGUAAUGAUUUGGGCACUGUCUCAACGAGAGACUCGGUGAAAUUUUAGUACCUGUGAAGAUGCAGGUUACCCGCGACAGGACGGAAAGACCCCAUGGAGCUUUACUGCAGUUUGAUAUUGAGUGUCUGUACCACAUGUACAGGAUAGGUAGGAGUCUAAGAGAUCGGGACGCCAGUUUCGAAGGAGACGCUGUUGGGAUACUACCCUUGUGUUAUGGCCACUCUAACCCAGAUAGGUGAUCCCUAUCGGAGACAGUGUCUGACGGGCAGUUUGACUGGGGCGGUCGCCUCCUAAAAGGUAACGGAGGCGCCCAAAGGUUCCCUCAGAAUGGUUGGAAAUCAUUCGCAGAGUGUAAAGGUAUAAGGGAGCUUGACUGCGAGAGCUACAACUCGAGCAGGGACGAAAGUCGGGCUUAGUGAUCCGGUGGUUCCGUAUGGAAGGGCCAUCGCUCAACGGAUAAAAGCUACCCUGGGGAUAACAGGCUUAUCUCCCCCAAGAGUUCACAUCGACGGGGAGGUUUGGCACCUCGAUGUCGGCUCGUCGCAUCCUGGGGCUGUAGUCGGUCCCAAGGGUUGGGCUGUUCGCCCAUUAAAGCGGCACGCGAGCUGGGUUCAGAACGUCGUGAGACAGUUCGGUCCCUAUCCGUCGCGGGCGUAGGAAAUUUGAGAGGAUCUGCUCCUAGUACGAGAGGACCAGAGUGGACUUACCGCUGGUGUACCAGUUGUCUUGCCAAAGGCAUCGCUGGGUAGCUAUGUAGGGAAGGGAUAAACGCUGAAAGCAUCUAAGUGUGAAACCCACCUCAAGAUGAGAUUUCCCAUGAUUAUAUAUCAGUAAGAGCCCUGAGAGAUGAUCAGGUAGAUAGGUUAGAAGUGGAAGUGUGGCGACACAUGUAGCGGACUAAUACUAAUAGCUCGAGGACUUAUCCAA